UGCUUUUGUUCUUCCAUCAGCAUUAACUCUGGAACAGCUUCAGAAAUUAUGCAUGUUUUUUAAUUAAUUUUAUCCUUUAUAACAUUUAUUUUAUUGUUUAAUUUGAAACGAGUUAUUUUAUUAAUAAACACAUCGUUGACAGUUUUAGCUAGUUUUUUUAAAGCCUGGGAAUGUGAGAAGCUCAGACUGUGUUUCAGGUGUGUGUGUGUGUGUUAAGAGAGACUUCCUCACACACAGUGCAUGAUGGGAUGCGUUUAAGAUGGUUAAGGGGUUUCCAUGGUAACGUGUGUCCUUGGGGUUUAUACAGAAUUAGUAAAUUUGUAAAUACUGAUAUCUGAAAUAUAAUAAAUGUGAGAAAAUGUCAACAGCACUGAAAACCGAGAAACUGGCAACGCGAAGUGAAACGCACUUCCGCUCACCUUCCUCUUAUGUAACCGCCCCGCCCCUUUUCCUCUGUCCUCGCGCUUCUGCAGUGGCGGGAAAUAAACAUCCUUCAUCCUCAUCCUCACAUUCACACCUCAACUGAAACAAACCGGAUGUUUUUACACUCAGUGUUUUUUUCAGCUUGAUCUGAUGACCCGGACCUCCUGCUCCUCUUCCUCCUCCUCCUCUUCCUCUUCUGUGGAUUUAGGAAAAGUGAAUUCAUGCAGGGAGAUGAGAAGCGCGGGGGAGCGAGACACCUAGUGGUGAUGACCGGAAAUGCAUGAGAAAGAAAACCAACACGUGCGGUACAGAACCCGAGCAUCUGAGCAGAAGCUGAAUGCUGAAGUGAAGUUACCCUAAAGUGGAUUCUGUGUUUAUUCUCUUUCCAAAUCCAGCGUGCAGGUAACAUCAGCAAAACAGCAACGUUUAAACACCUGGAUUAGCUACUACAUUUCCAGAUUCAGUACUUCUAAAAAAAAAAAGUAUCUCAAACAAGGAGGAAGGAGAAAGAAAUAAGGAGAUUAUAAAACAUUCUUAAGAGCUCUGAGAAUCAGAAUCCUAACCCUCUGAUAUUAUUAAUAAGUGCGUUAAAUAAAUGAUGAAGCUAAAGUUUAUGCUCCUGAAUGUUUUAUUUUCAUUUCUCUGUGUCUGAUCUGAGAUGAUUCCCUCCUCUUCCUCCUGUUCUGCACCUCAUACUCAUGUGUUAUCGUGGAGCUUCACACUGCUCAGGAGCGGAUUAUCAAACUCUCUCAGACCUGAAGGUUCUACACCUGACCGGUCCUGCCCUCAGGUGUGGUUCUUUCCCUUCUCUCUCAUACCCGUAGAGCUCCUUUAUUACACAGUAAUGAGAGUGUAUCUUUAAAGGGAACUUUAUUCACCUGUCCAGGUAAAAGAUCUGCUCUAAUGGAAAAGCAGCGUUUUCUUCUGCGUGGAUUAAUUUGAGAUUAAUGCAGGAAACUAAAAUAAAUUAGGAAAUAAAUGAUUGUGUGAUAUGAAAAUAAUAAAAUGAAAAUAAAAUCAAUGAGUUUUUAUUCAAUUCUAAGCCAUCUUAACAGUAGAUGAUUACCUUAAAUAUGAUAUAAAUCAAAUUCUAUAAAGUUGAAGACUGGAGUUGUUCACAUUGAGAGAGAGCGAGAGAGAGAGACAGUGACGAGUUCCCCUUCACCUUCUCAUUGUCUGUUGUUCUACCACAUUUCUAUCUCAGCUCAGUGCAAACCACCAUCAUCACCACCAUCACCUCAAAACACAAAAACAAGCAAAAAAACAAAGCAGCUCUCAUGCCAUCGGCUUCCUGUGAACUUUAUUCCAGCAUGUUCGUCAAACAAAACCUCGCCUGUGAUGCAGAGGCUGAAAACGGAGCGACUCUGAUUCAUGACCUGAUUAAACUCUUCAUUCAUCACACUGUACUUCCUGUACAAUGUUCAUACAGAGUGAUCGUAAAUACUCUCACUUCUACACUCUGGAGUCCAGACUGAGCUGAAGGACCAGUGCUGCUCCUCUACUGCUCUCACUGGGGCAGAAUUCCGAGAGAUUUGGGUUUUUUUUUAGACGGAGCCGACGUUACACAAUAUUUUCAGGAGUAGGUGUGAGACAUGAUUCACGCCUAAAGUAGGUUAAUCAGGCUGAAAAACCGGAUCUGAACUUUAACUACCCACAAACAAACUCGGUAAACAAAGACACGAGGACAGAGACGGGAUUUACGAUUAAAGCAGCUGACGAGUGACGACCUAGAGAUUCGGCUGGUCUCAAAACCCCGAAAACCCCCGGACUUUCUGCAGUGUGGAGCUGGACAGCGGGCUGACCUUCAUCCUCACACUUUCAUGUGAAUCUACAGGAAGUACAGAAAUAACUUCAAACACAUUUCACAAGCUGUGUGUCGGUUCCUCACACACACGUGAAGACUCUGUGCUGCUGAAUAGCCGAGGGUCAAACCUCACACACACACACACACACACACUACUCUUUGUGUUGAGUCAGCAGUAUUCCUGCAGUUAUAACAGUUAUAUUUAUAUCUAUAUUUAUUUUACCCAGAUCUACUCAUCAUUAUUUUAAACUAAUAGUUUUAUCACCUUUCCCUCACAGUGCAGAUGAAGACAAUAAUAAGGCUUUAAACUUACUGCUGUGACGUGUCUCACUAUCUCACACAGAACUCCUGAACAAACCCCUCCAGUGAGUGACGAGGUCAAAGGUCACACUCGGGGUCACUGCACCCAGGUGUUUCUGUGAGGAAUUUAGGGGCUUUUUUUAACCUCCAGCGUAGAGUUUCUGAGGUUUCUGGUGAGUGCACGGAGUCAGAGUGAAGACCUCACUAUCAGGUCACUGUGUCCACUCAGAGGACAAACACAAAACCUCCGAGAUCAAACAGAAAGCGCUGUAAUGUCAAGAAAAACAUCUCAAGAAGAAAAUCACAAGAAAAUUUAAAAAUCACAAGAAAAUAGUUUUAAUCUCAGGAAUGUAGAUGGAGUAGAUACUCAUUAAAGGCUGUUUUUUGACAAAUGAAAUUUUGAGAAACAUAAAAUAACAUCAAAUAAUCAACAUUUUGCCGUCAUCAAGUGCGACUCCAUUCCUAAUUUACAAUUUCCACUUCCUGUACAACUUCCACUUCCUAUAAAAUUUCCACUUCCUGUACAUCAACAGUCACACUGCUGCCUUACACUCAUACACACACACUUACACACACUCUCACACUCACACACACUCACUCACACACACACACUCUCACACACACACUCACACACACACACACUCACACACACACACACACUCACACACACACAGAAAAUGUUAAUUAUUAUUUAUGAUUUGUUUCUGCUCUCCUUCACGUCUCUGUUCUUUUCACUCAGCAUUUAUUUAAAUAUCUGUAAAAUUCUAAAGAUGUGGAUUUUAUAAAAAGGCCUGGAGUCGUCUGAAAGAUCUCAGAAGCUUUUAGAAUCAGUUUAAAUGUUUUUUGGUCACAGGAACAUUUACAUCAGAUUUGAGUUUGUAGAUUAAAAGUCUAGCUGAAGGUAAAUAUCAUAAAGCUUAAUACAUUUUUUUUACUAAUUUUAACUUGAAAUGAUUUUAUUUUCAGGAAAAAAGUAUAAAAGUGAGAGAUCUGUGUCUGGAGUGAGACAAUCUCAGGCUUAUGAUGAAGAAAAAGUUUAUAAAUAUUACAAACACCCACAUUAAAGCUGUGCUCUGAUUGUGAAGAAUAAUUAAAGUGUGUGUGUGUAUGUGUGUGUGCAAUUUUUUUCUCUGGACCUUUCUGAGGCACUUCAAACUCCUGAUGGUUUUGAGAUCAUCAGUGCUUAUUAAAUCAAGAAGAGAAUUGUGUGUGUGUGUGUGUGUGUGUGACAUAUAAAUUUGAAAA